AGCAGCCGCGGUAAUUCCAGCUCCAAUAGCGUAUAUUAAAGUUGUUGCAGUUAAAAAGCUCGUAGUUGAAUUUCGGGAUUGACGUGAUGGUCAUGCCUUAAGGGGUAUGAACUGUUACAGUUGAUUUCUCACCUUCUGGAGAAACUUGAUGUCCUUUAUUGGGUGUCUUGCGGAUCCAGGACCUUUACCUUGAAAAAAUUAGAGUGUUUAAAGCAGGCAUUUUUGCUCGAAUACAUUAGCAUGGAAUAAUAGAAUAGGACGGCAUGGUUCUAUUUUGUUGGUUUCUAGGAUCACCGUAAUGAUUAAUAGGGAUAGUUGGGGGCAUUAGUAUUCAAUUGUCAGAGGUGAAAUUCUUGGAUUUAUUGAAGACUAACUACUGCGAAAGCAUUUGCCAAGGAUGUUUUCAUUAAUCAAGAACGAAAGUUAGGGGAUCGAAGACGAUCAGAUACCGUCGUAGUCUUAACCAUAAACUAUGCCGACUAGGAAUCAGACGAUGUUAAUUUUUUAAUGACUCGUUUAG
rnacentral:rRNA from 1 species